rnacentral:piRNA from 1 species
GUUGCAAUCUGAAUAAGUC